CGAACGGGUGCGUAACACGUGAACAACCUGCCCUCGUGUGGGGGAUAGCCAUGCUAACGCGUGGGUAAUACCGCAUACGUUCUUUCUGGGGAGUCCUGGGAAGAGGAAAGCUCCGGCGCACGGGGAGGGGUUCGCGGCCUAUCAGCUAGUUGGCGGGGUAAUGGCCCACCAAGGCGACGACGGGUAGCUGGUCUGAGAGGAUGGCCAGCCACAUUGGGACUGAGAGACGGCCCAG
rnacentral:rRNA from 1 species